UUGGCAUAAGGUAGGACUGUUCAACAUUCCUCAUGGAAGACCUUUCCAAUGAUAUCUUUUUGUUAACAUGGAGUGGUUAAUUAUGGGCACAAUUAAAGCAAAUCUUUAUCAUGUUCUUGCAAAGGGACUGUGAAAAGACAGUCUUUUAAAUCAAUCAUUAUAAUGAGUGACGUGACAUGCAAUGGGAUUCCAAGUUGUAAAGAAUCCAUUGGCCGAAUGAUUUUAUUAUUGUCUCAGAUCUGUCAACAUCCUCCAUUUGCCAGAUUUCUUUUUAAUGACAAAUACAAGAGAAUUCAGAGGGCUGGUGGACUCUUGGUGUAACUGUUCUAGAAUUUGCAAGUUUUCUUUUGUCAUAGGCCAUUGUUCUAUCCGAAUAGGUUAGUUAAUCAACCACCUUUAAUGAAAGGGUCACUGGUGUUUUACUAGCAAUCUUUUCCCUACAUAAAGUUGAAGAGCCAGUCCCUGCUGUGACCUGUUUAUGGACAACUUGGACAGUCUUUGACUAUUCUUGCAUAUCUACAGGGUGCCACCUAAAUUCUUCUCCAGGGUGACCACUAUGUGUCCAGGACGGACUGCGGACUGCAGGACUGGGCAAAGUUAGAGCCCUGCCCUGAGCAGAUUCCUGAGAAGGGCUUGACCUUUUCAAAGAAAGAACAUGUUCCCGGAAGACUGUUGCCUCAUUGUCUAAGAAGAACAUCUUGCAGUUUAAGGAUUCACCUUAUGUCCUUGGGUACUUCCCGGUACUCCCCUAGCCCUAAGCUUCAGUUCCUGCUUCAGAGCUUUAAAUGCUGUACACUCCUCUCAAUAAACAGAACUUGACAAGAA